rnacentral:rRNA from 1 species
CCUUCUUUGCUGGCGACCGGCGCACGGGUGAGUAACACGUAUCCAACCUGCCCUUUACUCGGGGAUAGCCUUUCGAAAGAAAGAUUAAUACCCGAUAGUAUAAUGAUUCCGCAUGGUUUCAUUAUUAAAGGAUUCCGGUAAAGGAUGGGGAUGCGUUCCAUUAGGUUGUUGGUGAGGUAACGGCUCACCAAGCCUUCGAUGGAUAGGGGUUCUGAGAGGAAGGUCCCCCACAUUGGAACUGAGACACGGUCCAA